rnacentral:rRNA from 1 species
UGGGGAAUAUUGGACAAUGGGGGGAACCCUGAUCCAGCCAUGCCGCGUGUGUGAAGAAGGCCUUAUGGUUGUAAAGCACUUUAAGCGAGGAGGAGGGUACUGGUAUUAAUACUACCAGGUACUGGACGUUACUCGCAGAAUAAGCACCGGCUAACUCUGUGCCAGCAGCCGCGGUAAUACAGAGGGUGCGAGCGUUAAUCGGAUUUACUGGGCGUAAAGCGUGCGUAGGCGGCUAAUUGAGUCGGAUGUGAAAUCCCCGAGCUUAACUUGGGAAUUGCAUUCGAUACUGGUUAGCUAGAGUGUGGGAGAGGAAGGUAGAAUUCCAGGUGUAGCGGUGAAAUGCGUAGAGAUCUGGAGGAAUACCGAUGGCGAAGGCAGCCAUCUGGCCUAACACUGACGCUGAGGUACGAAAGCAUGGGGAGCAAACAGG